rnacentral:rRNA from 1 species
CCUACGGGUGGCAGCAGUCGAGAAUCAUUCACAAUGGGGGAAACCCUGAUGGUGCGACGCCGCGUGGGGGAAUGAAGGUCUUCGGAUUGUAAACCCCUGUCAUGUGGGAGCAAAACAAAAAGAUAGUACCCCAAGAGGAAGAGACGGCUAAUUCUGUGCGAGUAGCCGCGGUAAUACAGCGGUCUCAAGCGUUGUGCGGAAUCACUGGGCGUAAAGCGGGCGUAGGCUGUUUCGUAAGUCGUGUGUGAAAGGCGAGGGCUCAACCCGCGGACGGCACAUGAUAAUGCGAGACUAGAGUAAUGGAGGGGGAACCGGAAUGCUCGGUGUAGCAGUGAAAUGCGUAGAUAUCGAGAGGAACACUCGUGGCGAAGGCGGGUUCCUGGACAUUAACUGACGCUGAGGCACGAAGGCCAGGGGAGCGAAAGGGAUUAGAUACCCUUGUAGUC